GCCUACGGGGCGCAGCAGUGAGGAAUAUUGGUCAAUGGACGAGAGUCUGAACCAGCCACGCAGCGUGAAUGAUGACUGCCCUAUGGGUUGUAAACUUCUUUUAUAUGGGAAUAAAAUGUUCCACGUGUGGGAUUUUGUAUGUACCAUAUGAAUAAGGAUCGGCUAACUCCGUGCCAGCAGCCGCGGUAAUACGGAGGAUCCGAGCGUUAUCCGGUUUUAUUGGGUUUAAAGGGAGCGUAGGUGGAUUGUUAAUUCAGUUGUGAAAGUUUG
rnacentral:rRNA from 1 species